GGCAAAGUGGCUCAGUGGUAGAGUGCUUGCCUUGCAUGCAUGAGGGCCUGGGUUCGAUUCCUUAGCACCA
rnacentral:tRNA from 1 species